GUUAUAGGGUCAAGCGAACAAGUGCAUGUGGUGGAUGCCUUGGCGAUCACAGGCGAUGAAGGACGCGGUAGCCUGCGAAAAGCUACGGGGAGCUGGCAAACGAGCUUUGAUCCGUAGAUGUCCGAAUGGGGAAACCCACCUCUUUUGAGGUAUCCGUGGCUGAAUACAUAGGCCACGCGAAGCGAACGCGGUGAACUGAAACAUCUAAGUAACCGCAGGAAAAGAAAUCAACCGAGAUUCCCAGAGUAGUGGCGAGCGAAAUGGGACCAGCCUGUACUCUUUAUCUUCAUUGUUAGUCGAAGGCUCUGGAAAGUGCCGCCAUAGCAGGUGAUAGCCCUGUAGACGAAAACAGCGAGGAAGAACUAGGUGUACGACAAGUAGGGCGGGACACGUGAAAUCCUGUCUGAAGAUGGGGGGACCAUCCUCCAAGGCUAAAUACUCGUGAUCGACCGAUAGUGAACCAGUACCGUGAGGGAAAGGCGAAAAGAACCCCGGGAGGGGAGUGAAACAGAUCCUGAAACCGCAUGCAUACAAACAGUCGGAGCCUUUGAAAGAGGGUGACGGCGUACCUUUUGUAUAAUGGGUCAGCGACUUACAUUCAGUGGCAAGCUUAACCGAUUAGGGCAGGCGUAGCGAAAGCGAGUCCGAACAGGGCGUUCAGUCGCUGGGUGUAGACCCGAAACCAGGUGAUCUAUCCAUGGCCAGGAUGAAGGUGCGGUAACACGUACUGGAGGUCCGAACCCACUAACGUUGAAAAGUUAGGGGAUGAGCUGUGGAUAGGGGUGAAAGGCUAAACAAACCUGGAAAUAGCUGGUUCUCUCCGAAAACUAUUUAGGUAGUGCCUCGUGUAUCACCUUCGGGGGUAGAGCACUGUCAUGGUUGUGGGGUCCAUUGCGGAUUACUACGCCAUAGCAAACUCCGAAUACCGAAGAGUGCAAUCACGGGAGACAGACAUCGGGUGCUAACGUCCGGUGUCAAGAGGGAAACAACCCAGACCGCCAGCUAAGGUCCCCAAAUAUGGCUAAGUGGGAAACGAAGUGGGAAGGCUAAAACAGUCAGGAGGUUGGCUUAGAAGCAGCCAUCCUUUAAAGAAAGCGUAAUAGCUCACUGAUCGAGUCGUCCUGCGCGGAAGAUGUAACGGGGCUAAGCCAUAUACCGAAGCUGCGGAUGCACAUUUAUGUGCAUGGUAGGAGAGCGUUCCGUAAGCCUGCGAAGGUGCACUGGAAAGUGUGCUGGAGGUAUCGGA
rnacentral:rRNA from 1 species